GAUGAACGCUAGCUACAGGCUUAACACAUGCAAGUCGAGGGGAAACGGCAUUAAGUGCUUGCACUUUUUGGACGUCGACCGGCGCACGGGUGAGUAACGCGUAUCCAACCUUCCCAUGACUAAGGGAUAACCUGCCGAAAGGCAGACUAAUACCUUAUGGUCUUCACUGACGGCAUCAGAUGUGAAGUAAAGAUUUAUCGGUUAUGGAUGGGGAUGCGUCUGAUUAGUUAGUUGGCGGGGUAACGGCCCACCAAGGCAACGAUCAGUAGGGGUUCUGAGAGGAAGGUCCCCCACAUUGGAACUGAGACACGGUCCAAACUCCUACGGGAGGCAGCAGUGAGGAAUAUUGGUCAAUGGGCGAGAGCCUGAACCAGCCAAGUAGCGUGCAGGAUGACGGCCCUAUGGGUUGUAAACUGCUUUUGUAUGGGGAUAAAGUCAAUCACGUGUGAUUGU
rnacentral:rRNA from 1 species